GUGGCGAGCGUAACCCGUGUGGGGUACGCGUAGUGAAGGCGAGUCUCAAAAGGCGUUUGAGUCGCGUGUCCUGGACCCGAAGCGGGAUGAUCUAGCCCUGAGCAGGUUGAAGCGCGGGUAAGACCGCGUGGAGGACCGAACCCACCUGGGUUGAAAACCGGGGGGAUGACUUGGGGUUAGGGGUGAAAGGCCAAUCAAAUUCCGUGAUAGCUGGUUCUCUCCGAAAUGCAUUUAGGUGCAGCGUCGGGGAUUACGUCCGGGGGGUAGAGCUACUGGAUGCUUGAGGGCCCGUAUCGGGUACCGACAGCAGCCAAACUCCGAAUACCCGUGACGCGUAUCCCGGCAGUGAGUCGGCGGGGGAUAAGCUCCGUCGUCGAAAGGGAGACAGCCCAGAUCGUCGUCUAAGGUCCCCAAGCGCGUGCUAAGUGGGAAAGGAUGUGGAGUCGCAUAGACAGCCAGGAGGUUGGCUCAGAAGCAGCCACCCUUGAAAGAGUGCGUAACAGCUCACUGGUCUAGUGGUUCCGCGCCGACAAUGUAGCGGGGCUCAAGCACGCCACCGAAGACGCGGCAGCGUCCGUCUGGACGCUGGGUAGGAGAGCGUCCCCAUCGGGGCGAAGCGGCGGCGCAAGCCUGCCGUGGACCGUUGGGGAGUGAGAAUGCAGACAUGAGUAGCGAGAGGCGGGUGCGAAUCCCGCCCGCUGGAUGACCAAGGGUUCCGGGGCCACGUUCGUCGUCCCCGGGUGAGUCGGGUCCUAAGGCGAGGCCGACAGGCGUAGUCGAAUGGAUGAACGGGCUGAUAUUCCCGUACCGGCAGCGAACCGAAACAACCGAGGCCUGGGGCGCUAACCUCCGGGCCCGUGCCGUCUCCCCUUUCGGGGGGUCGCGGCGCGGGCGCGUUGGGAUCCCCCCUCGUAGUAGGUCAGCGCAGGAGUGACGCAUCAGGGCAGCCGGCCGCGGAGGUGGUUUUCCGUGGUCAAGCGUUCGAGCCCGUCCCGCAGGCAAAUCCGCGGGGCGUCGGGGCGAGGCGUGAUGAUGGGGGCCUUACGGCCCGAAUCCGGUGAUCCGUGGUGCCGAGAAAAGCUUCGGCGUCAGGCGCGUUGCCGCCCGUACCCCAAACCGACACUGGUGGUCAGGUAGAGAAUACCAAAGCGAUCGAGCGAAUCCUGGUCAAGGAACUCGGCAAAUUGCUCCCGUGCCUUCGGCAUAAGGGAGACCCCCGGCGGUGAACACACUUGCUGUGGGAGCUUUUGGGGGUGGCACAGACCAGGGGGUAGCGACUGUUUACCAAAAACACAGGUGCAUGCGAAGGCGCAAGCCGCUGUAUAUGCACUGACGCCUGCCCGGUGCCGGAAGGUUAAGAGGAUCCGUCAGCCUUCGGGUGAAGCGGUGAAUUCAAGCCCCGGUAAACGGCGGUGGUAACUAUAACCAUCCUAAGGUAGCGAAAUUCCUUGUCGGGUAAGUUCCGACCUGCACGAAUGGCGUAACGACUUCCCCACUGUCUCGACCAGGAGCUCGGCGAAAUUGCAGUACGAGUAAAGAUGCUCGUUAAGCGCAGAAGGACGAAAAGACCCCGGGACCUUUACUAUACCUUGGUAUUGGCAUUCGGUGUGGAUUGUGUAGCAUAGGCGGGAGGCCGAGAGGCGCGGUCGCCAGAUCGCGCGGAGCCGUAAGGUGAAAUACCGCUCUGUUCGCAUUGGAUGUCUAACCUCGAACAGUCAUCCUGUUCAGGGACAGUGCCUGGCGGGUAGUUUAACUGGGGCGGUUGCCUCCCAAAGAGUAACGGAGGCGCCCAAAGGUCCGCUCAGCACAGGUUGGCAAUCGGGUGGCGAGUG
rnacentral:rRNA from 1 species